rnacentral:rRNA from 1 species
AAAAACAUAACCUUUAGCCAAACAAAUAUUAAAGGCAACGCCUGCCCAGUGAACAAUUAAACGGCCGCGGUAUCCUAACCGUGCAAAGGUAGCAUAAUCAUUUGUCUACUAAUUAUAGACCUGUAUGAAAGGCAAAAUGAGGGUCUAACUGUCUCUUAUAAUAAAUCAAUUAAACUGAUCUCCUAGUAAAAAAGCUAGAAUAACACCAUAAGACCAGAAGACCCUGUGAAGCUUAAACUAAACUAUUAAACCAUAUAAUAAAUACUUUCGGUUGGGGCGACCUUGGAAAAAAACAGAACUUCCAAGACCCAGCACAGCUGAUUAUUGAACCAAGUUACUCCAGGGAUAACAGCGCAAUCUUCUUCAAGAGCCCAUAUCAAAAAGAAGGUUUACGACCUCGAUGUUGGAUCAGGACAUCCUAAUGGUGCAGCCGCUAUUAAGGGUUCGUUUGUUCAACGAUUAACAGUCCUACGUGAUCUGA